AUGAACGCUGGCGGCGUGCUUAACACAUGCAAGUCGAACGAUGAAGCCCAGCUUGCUGGGUGGAUUAGUGGCGAACGAGUGAGUAACACGUGAGUAACCUGCCCUUAACUCUGGGAUAAGCCUGGGAAACUGGGUCUAAUACCGGAUAGGAGCGUCCACCGCAUGGUGGGUGUUGGAAAGAUUUAUCGGUUUUGGAUGGACUCGCGGCCUAUCAGCUUGUUGGUGAGGUAAUGGCUCACCAAGGCGACGACGGGUAGCCGGCCUGAGAGGGUGACCGGCCACACUGGGACUGAGACACGGCCCAGACUCCUACGGGAGGCAGCAGUGGGGAAUAUUGCACAAUGGGCGCAAGCCUGAUGCAGCGACGCCGCGUGAGGGAUGACGGCCUUCGGGUUGUAAACCUCUUUCAGUAGGGAAGAAGCGAAAGUGACGGUACCUGCAGAAGAAGCACCGGCUAACUACGUG
rnacentral:rRNA from 1 species